ACGGGUGAAAGCGGGGUACGAUGCGGGGCAGGUGGAUGCGAGUUAAAAAAGCUAUGCGAGACAAGGCGAGACGGAUUAAAAUUUUGCGGGUUAAGAUAGAACUCACCCCGUACAUCGCUUGCCAUCCCUUGUACAACUUUACAAUUAUUAGGUACAGAAGUCCAACUGCAGUUUAAUAAAAACAUAACCAUUAUCCAAAGAAGAGAAUGAAAGUGUUUGACUUGACAUAAAGUUUAAAAAGGAAUAAAGACUUUUGAAAUUUGUAGUUACGUAAUAAGCUAUAGAUAUUUGUAUGACUUUAAUUAUGGAUAAUAUCAAAAGUUAAAACUUAAAUUAUUUUUAAAUAAGGAGAUAUGACAUUUUUUUUAGAGCAGCAAAAAAAUGAAAAGUAUGCUACAUAAAUUAAGAAAAAAAUAGUAGCAUUGAUUAAUCAAAAGAAAAGAGAAUUAAUUCAUUCAUGCUAGAGAGAGAGGAGAAACGUGUUCAAAUCUGCUCUUCAACACUGGACAUAUUCCUCAGAUCUGGGAGGAAAUUUAAGGCUGAGAAAUUUGAUAGUAUGUUGGUAACUGCGGUUCCAAAACUGUAACGACAAUCAAACCUUUUUAUAACAAUCUUAUUUGUUUCGAUAUUUUUUGACUGCUAUAAAGAAGUGUUACAUUGUUAUAAAAGACAUAGACUUAUCACAUAAUAUAAAAAUUAGUUCCGAAAAAAACUUAAUUUUUAUAGUGAAUAACUAUUAUACAUAGGGAUGUUGUUAUAGAGAGGUCUGACUGUAUCCAUUUUCAGUUUACAGUGUGUAGAGUCGGAUCUUAAUUUUAAAUUAAAUUCUUACAAAAUCGAUUGCACAUUUGAAACAUGAGUUCAAAGUAAGAAAAAAAAAAUUAUAUUCAGUUGAACUCAUUGAGUAAGGCUCAGAAUAUGUGGUAGUAAAGUGUAAUAGACACCAAAUAUAAUGUAAAACAACAAAUGAAUUAUCAUAUAAUUAAGCCAAAAGAAAAACGAAAAAUCUAAAAAAUGUGUGUGUAUACCAGGCCAAUUAUAAGAGUACUACGCUAAAUAAAAAAGACAGUAGUAAAUAGUACUACCAAUUUUGAGACCUCAGUCACCAACAGACUACCAUCUUCUUCUUCUUCAAUUCUUCUUUUAAUCUCUUUUCAAACUUUAACUUGUAUUCAUUUAUCUCAAAAUCUGAUACCUUUUAUUGAAUACAAAAUGUUAGAGGUACAGUCUUUAAUCUAAAACAGAAAGUACGUACUUACAUGGUUUGAUUAUAUUGUACUACUGGUACGUCUAGCUAUAUCACCUCCUCAUGAGAAGCACAGUCAUCCGUUUUCG
rnacentral:lncRNA from 1 species